AUGUAGUGAUGAUUUCAUCAGAUAGAUUUUUUUAUCUAAAUCUAAUAAUUUAGAUAUUCGUGUAUACUUUUUAAAAAAGUUUAUAAAUGAAUACAUUCUUUUAAAUAUGUAGUAGAAUAGAAGCUUACUUGCUGCAAGGUUUAAUUUUGCGGCCGUCAAGCCAGACGGUGAGAUUGGGAAAGUUGUUGUGCCACUCUGCAGGAAUAGGAUCAAUGCCUAAUUCCCCACAAUUGACAAUCCAUAAUUUCUCCAAUGCAUCCCCCCAGCAAGAGGGCAGACGCCUCAACUUGUUGCAUCUAAUCAGACGUAACCACCGUAGAGAUGGAAGGUUCCCCAACCAUUCAGGCAAUUCUUCUACCCCUAAAUUAUGUAACGCUAACCCAUUAAGAGCCGUGAGAUGUUGAAUUGAUUCUGGUAACCACUCCCAAUUUUCCACCCCUCUUAAGUGCAAGUAAGUAAGUGAGUUGCAGCAUCCUUGCAAUAAGGCAUCCACAGUCUGUUUAAUGCCAACACUACUCUCCAUUGACCACUCCAAACUCACAUCUAUCACUAACAUCUUAAGCACCCUAAACCCCAACACUUGACACUAUCAAUAGGAACACCAACAAUUCUCAAAUUCUGAGACUCACUGCUUUAGCGAGGCAGUCAAUUACCAUCGGCAGAUUCUUUAGGCUGCUUAAUCCCCUCAACGUGAGAUCCUCGAUUGUUGGCGCCCAUGACUCUAGCAUUUGACGUGGCAAAACCAUCAACCCUUCGCACAUUGAAAUCGUGAGCUGACGAAGGAUUCCUUGUGAUUGUCCUUCUCUGCCACUUGGAUUCCCUAUUGACUUCACAUUUCGACAAUAAUAUAUACCCAACCUCUCCAGAGAAUUGAGGGUGUCCAGUCCAUCUGGUAAUUCUCUCAACCUGGGGCAUCCACUUAUCUCCAACUCUGAUAGAUUCUGAUUCUUAUAGAAUAACCAAUCUGGCAGACAUUCCAAUCCCUCCAAGUCUUCUAUAUUGAGGGAUAUUAAUUUAGAAAAUGAAGAAUUUAUGAACCUCAGCUUCUCCAAUCCUAUCAAAGAAAGAGAUUUGAGAUUUGGCAAGUGCUCCAGCUGUGGGAUUUCCUCACAUUCUGAGCACCUCUUGAGUGUUAUCUCAAUCAAGUUUUGAAGUGGUACCCAAGAGGCUUGAGGCCCAUCCCGUACUGCCAUCUUCUCAAUCCAUUCUGGAAAUCUUUUGCCUUUGAAUCCUUUAAUCUCUAACUUCUUCAGAUUGGCAUUUGCAUGAGGUUGGAGGCCUUCCAACACACUGUCGUCAUUUCUUUCACCUUCUCUCUCCUCAUCCCAUUCAAACCCCAAAUCAAAUAAGUUUGGCUUCUCAAAUAUCUUUGCUUUCUCUGCCUCUUCUUUGCCCUGCACCUUUUCCAAACUACUAAUCACUAGUUGUCCUUUGAGAUUCUUCAAACUUCCGAGCUCUUCAAUUUGAUAGCCCUUGUUGUCACCCACUUUAAAGUGCCUUAGUGUUUGGAGACAACUUAAUCUCCCAAUCUCCGCAGGCAACUUCACAUCAUCAUCGAUAUAGAGAUGCCUUAAGUUAAUCAAGUACUUUAACGUACUUGGCAGAAACAGCCUAUUCCCCCACCUCCUGUCGGCUCUUAAUGUUUGCAAGUGAUGGAAUUCACUAAUCCAGUCUGGCAAAUUCUUAAUUCCCGUAUUUGAAAUAUCAAGAUUUCUCAAAUGUAUCAUCUUCCUAACUGAAUUGGGCAACUCUUCAACUCCAUAACGCUUAAGAGUAAGAACAUGCAGACUUUCCAAGUUACCCGGAAUUUCAUCACCUUCCAAGAACAAUGUACGCAAAUGUUUUGCCACUUGUUUUGGCACAGGCUUUGACCCUUGAAGAGUGAUGUAUCUGAUUUGGUUGCAGCCAUCUGCAUUAUUAGAACCACCCAAAACAGAAGAUGCCAGAUCAUGCACAAGAUCGUGCAUCACACAACUCUCCACAUUUCCAAUAUCAUCUCUCCCUGCAACUUGCAACAAAGAGUUUUGUAGAAGCAUAUUAAAGAACAUCUCGCCCACAGACUCCAUAUCAUCUCUUCCAUUUGGCUCAAGAAAACCUUCUGCCAUCCAUUGUUCGAUCAGCUUCUGCUUCACAAUCUUUCCACCUUUUGGGAAAAUUGAACAGUAUGUGAAACACUUCUUGAGAGAUGGUGAAGACAAAUUAUCAAAGCUCAAUCUCAAAAUUUUCGAGAUGUUAUCUCCAUCAACAUCUGUAAGCCAUCUUUGUUCGACUUCGAGCCACUCUUCUUGAGAUUUACAGCGAAGCACUCCCCCGACCACAUUGGCAGCUAAGGGCAAACCUUUACAUCUUUUUGCAAUCUUUUUUCCAAUCAUCUCGAAUCCUGAUGGCACUUCUCCAUUUUCAUCAAAAGUCUUAGCUUUGAUUAUGGACCAGCAAUCUUCAUCUGAUAAGCCUGUUAACAUAUGAAUGUCAAUUGGCUUCACAGUUGAAGCAACCUUUUGACUCCUGGUAGUGAUGAUGAUGCCAUUUCCUUUAGUAGAAGUUACUCCCGACAGAGAAUUUAUAAAGCCUUCCCAUGUCGGAACAUCUUGAUUCCAUAUAUCAUCAAGAACAAGAAGAUAAGUUUUAGUCUUGAGAGUUUCUUGAAGCUUUUCAAGAAUAUCUUCUCUGCUCUCAACUCCAUCAAUACUCUUUCUAGUUUCCAGGAUAUCAUCAUCUCUGCUCUCAACUCCAUCUCCAUCAGCAGUGUUUUUAGCCAUCUUGAAAAGUAUUUUCUUGAAAAGAAGAAUUGGAUCAAAAGUUUGAGAAACAUGAACCCAAAGCCGUGAUCCAAAUCGAGUCUUCAUUUUUUCAUGAUUGAAGACUUUCCUAGUCAACGUAGUUUUCCCCAUACCUCCCAUUCCGACAAGAGCAAGGAUAGAGAAGAUCCGCUCCUGUGGGUGGGUCUGGGUGAGCAUCUCAACAAGUUUAGGCACAUCAUCAUCUCUUCCAAUAAAGAUUGGAUCAAGAGAGAAUGAAUCAGUCUCAAAGGAAGCAUUCAGAGCAGCAGUAGGUGCAUUCACUACUAUGCUCUGAAGGCCGAGCUCGGUUGCCCUUUUGUUCAUAUUCUCAAAACUCGUAUUGAUUUGUUUGAUUCUAAGAGCCAUAUUUCGUGGGCGUGAGAUGUGAUUCAAGGAUGAGAAGCAUGAUAGUACCUUAUCCUUGCGUGACAUCAUUUUGUUGACUUUUUUGUGGAGAAGAUGAUAGUUGAGUUCAUCCACAACAUUAUCAGCAUCGAAGGCCAGUGCUUCAAGCUUCCUCAACCAGAUCUUGACAGCAUCUUGGGAGAUGGAUUUCUUCUCCGCAUCAUUCAAGUAACCCUGAAUGAUUCCCAAAGUCGUUUGCAGCUGUUGGGCAUCUUCGUCGAGACCUCGAAGUAGAGAGUGCUCUUCUUUGAAAACAUUGAUAAGGCUUUGAAGCAGAAUUUCAAUGGCUGCAGCAGACACACCUCCUCCAUCCAUGGUUUGCAGAGAGAGAAUGCUUGUGAACUUUUUUUUUUGUGUGUGAAGAUGAUGAUUGUAAAGUUGUAGAUGACCAUUCAAACAUUAUCUCUCUUCAAUUAUGUACUCACGGGUCGCCAGGAGUGAGCAAAAUCAGGUUAACUCCGAAAAUUUGAACUGAACCUAAUUGAAAUAUUAAUUGGGUUCGGUUAAUUUGGUUUUCGGUUCGGUUUCGGUUUUGAAUUUUGAAAUUUUUGAUUUUUUUUUUAUAUUUCGGUUAUGGCUUUUAAGAAAAAAUAUUUGGUUUACCGAAAAUCGAACCAAAAUAAUAAUUAAUUUAAUAAUUUAUACAUAUUAUUUAAAAAUUAAAAUGAUUAUUAUUACUAUUUCGUAAAAUAGUCAAUAAUUACUCUUAAUUUAUACUCUUAAUUUUGGUCAAUUUAAAAAAAUUAAAGUAAUUUUUCAAUAAUUACUCUUAAUUUAUACUCCUAAUCUUUGGUUAAGAUGUUAUCAAAUUUUGAAUUAUUAUUUUUUACAUAUUUCGAAUCUUGUAUAUUGAAUGUUAAUUAGUUAUUUAAAUAUUACUCCCUCCGUCCCACUCUAAAUGUCCCAUUUGCCAUUUUGGGUUGUCCCACUCCAAAUGACCCAUUCCCUUUUUGGCAAAAGACUCUCUCUCUAUACCUAAUAUUUAAAUAAUUUCCACCAACCCACUUUAUCUACUUUAUACCCACUUUAUCUACUUUUUACACCUUUCUUAAUCUCCGUGCCCAAAAGAAAGGAGACAUUUGAAGCGGGACGGAGGGAGUAAAAAAUAUAUUGUGUACUUAUUUCGGUUAUUUGGUUUUAACCGAAACCGAACUGAAAUAUUUCGGGUCGAUUUUGUUCGGUUUUAAGCAUGUUUAGUUCGAAUUUGAAUACUAAUUAUAUAAUUCGAUUUUAAUUUAAUUUUUGUUAUUCGGUUCGGUUCGCUGACCGAAUGCUCACNGAAGAACACCGCGAGAAGGGAACAAUCCCACCCUCUACAUUUUAACUCUCAAUUCGACUCCACUAAAACAUAAAUAAAACUCCUAUUUAUAAUAAAACCCUAAACAUCUAAAAGGAAACAAACUAACUUGACCAACAAGACAAGUCAAUAAUUAAUUAAAGAUAUAAUAUAUUAUACGAUUCUAUCUUCAUCACUUUACCAUGUGGAGAUAUCUUUGGUGUUUAUUUCUGAAUUUGUGAUGCAUUUUGUCUUAGUGGCUGUAACACAGAGAAUUAGGUUUAUUGGCCCACUAACAUCUCUCAAUCUCCCCCUCUCUGUGGGAAGAAAACAAUCUUUUUCAAUGAGUUAUUUGAGCUGUAUUUUCUUUAAUAAAAUGAGAAUCUCUAUCAGAACAACAGUUAAAUGGCUUUGUUUCUGUUUGCUAUAAUAUUGCGCUUUCCAACUGGGAGUUUAUACAUUUCUCUUAACUCCUACUGUGACUUUCUGAAAGGUAAUGAAUGCGAAGUUCAAUAUAAGAUUAUGUUCUUGGGCUCUAGUCUCUUGGUCCUUUCUGUUAUAUUUUCUAUGAAUUAUUCCCUUUCAAUUAUGAAGGAUUAUUAUGCCAUGAUCAAAUUUGCCAUACGUGUGCCCAUCUGUUUUUCUAUCCUUGGGUUACUAUUCUCUGAACAUUCUUUUUUUGGGUUUAUUAGAGGUUUGCAAAUCCAUUUUUGGCAUUUCUAAUGUUUGUGCCAUUGCCAUGCUCAAUUGUUUCAAUUCUUUCCAUAUAGCAAGGAAACGAUGCACCAAAAAGGGUUGUUUUUCAGCAGACAAUAGGUACAUUUGGAUCAACCCAUAUUAAUUAUCAGUCGCACACUGAGUUGGUCGUGUGGUUAUUCAGUGGCAUCAAAGUGUUACAUAUGUGCAUGUUGUAUAGCUCUCCGUUCAUCGCGUGAAAUGGCAGGUAAUUCAGUUAGGAGUUGUGAUAAAUUAAAUUCAUGAAAACUGCUUGCAAUAUUUGAAUGAUGCUAAUGUACUAGUGGACUAUAGGUCUGGUCAUUGAAGUAGCUAUGAUUUUAUUUACAGAGGAAUGUUAGCAUACACACCAUCAUGUGCAUCUCCAUCAACACCUAGACCUAGUGUAUUGGAUUGGAUCAUUAUUUCAAAAUGAAUAUACUCAUGCAUCUCCUGCUCCGGUUCCAGCGGUCGCUGGGUUGCUCCAGUUCCAGCGGUAGCUGGGCUCCAGCCGGCGCUGGAUUGCUGCCUUCCUAAUUCCUAUCAAGUCAAUGAAAAUCCAUGAAAAUUAAUAUAAAAAAAGUCACCAAAACUCUGCAUAAAGUCUAUUGAUUUUUUAAACCCACAAAAAUCAAUAGACUUUUUAAAAUCCAAAAAAAUAUAACAGAAUCCCAAACCAAUACACCCCCUAAGAAUUUCUGUUAUUACAAUCAUGGAUUUCACACCUCAUUGGAACAAAUACUAGUGUUUGUGAUACAAUCCAUACUUGGUGAAGCCAGUUACACAUUUAGCAUCAAAAUUUAACAUUAGCCUCACGCUGCUCUGCCACCAUAGAGGAAAGCAAUAAAUAAUUGCUGCUUAUCUUUUGUCGCAUAUUAUUCAAAUUAGCAAUUCCGUAGUGAUGAUUUUAAUUCGUUCCUUAUAACACCAUACAUCCAACGUCAAAUUUUAAGGCAAGUUUGCGUGUGUUGGUAUAAUAAUAGUAUGGUUAAUGUUUGAAGCCAAAAUUUUUAAGUUCGAGUCAUUUGUCGUACAACUUUUAAACUUAUUUGUUCAUUCACAAAAAAUAAAAAAAAAUAGUUAGACAAGUUUGAUUUUCAAGGAAUAUUUAGGUAGCUGUCUACAAAGUGUCCAAUAAAUGAGUUUCAUAAAGCAAAUAAGAUAUAUAUAUACAUCACAAAUUUCUUACAUUCUAUUUCAUCAUCAAUCUAUCAUGUUUUCCUUUAAAUAAAUAAAUAAAUCUAUCAUAUUUCAUUUCAUGCCAUCCGUGUUCUUAACUACUUUCAUGGCUUGAAUUAAAGCUACUUCAACAGCUUAUGUGUCCUCAAAAGAUUGAUAUGAAAUUCAUAUUUAUUUUCUAAAUUUUAUUUUUACAUAAUUAAUUUUAAAUUCCACGAAUUAUAGCAAAAUUAAACUUUUAAGAAAAAAACAACCUCAACAAAGAAAGAAAAAUGAAACUUACUUGCUGCAAGGUUUAAUCUGGCGGCCGUCAACCCAGAUGGUGAGAUUGGGAGAGUUGUUGUGCCACUCUGCAGGAUCAAUGUGUAAUUCUCCACAAUCUUCGAUAUAUAAAACCUCCAAUGCAUCCCAGCAAGAGGGCAGAUGCCUCAACUUGUUGCAACUAUUUAGAGUUAAGCUCCGUAGGGAUGGAAGGUUCCCCAACCAUUCAGGCAAUUCUUCUACCCCUAAAUUAUGCAAGUUUAACACAUUAAGAGCUGUGAGAUGUUGAAUUGAUUCUGGUAACCACUCCCAAUUUUGCACCCCUCUUAAGGUGAAAUUAGUAAGUGAGUUGCAGCAUCCUUGCAAUAAGGCAUCCACAGGCUCUUUCAUGCCAACACUACUCUCCAUUGACAACUCCUCACUCACAUCUAUCACUAAUUCUCUUGAGCAGCCUAAAGCCCAAAUCUUGACACUAGCA
rnacentral:lncRNA from 1 species